AAAAAUAAGUAUUUUGGAAGAAUGUCACACUGGGACCCAAGUAUAACAUUUUGUCAAGGAUGUCUGUUCUGUAAGUCAAGGGAAUUUUCUGAAUGAAUAUUCAACUGAAAAUAUUUAAAUAGAAAAGAAGAUGAGUAUGCUGUGUGUGUAUGUACGAGGAGAUGCAGCAAGCAGAAACAAUUAUAAUCUAGGAUGUACAACAUUAGCAAGCCACGUAUGCAUCCAAAGAGGCAAGGAUAAAGAGAAUCUUUUUUUGGAAAAAGGAGAGGUCCAUGUAAGCUGCUUGGAAACAGAGUUCAUUGGUUCUGGAGGCUCAAAGCCAGAGUUGGCAUCAUUUCAUUGGUGAAGAUAUCAUCACUGAAGUGACACGAAGUAACAAGUAAAGAACAAUAUGAGAAGAGAGACCACUGAAGAAUGAAAAAACUUUGUAUUUUAUCUUUUUAACAGCACAUUUUUUUCAUGCUAUUUGAACAAGGGGCUGCACAUGAUAAUUUUGCCCUGGGCCCUGCAAUUUGGACUACUAGCCCUGAUUUGGGGGGACAUUUUUGUAAACUUAACAGUCUAUUUCCAUAGGCCUUAUAAAUUCUGUGAAGUACCUAAAAUUCCUUUAUUAAUCCCUUUCAUUUAAAAAUAAAUAGAGUGACAUCACUUGUUUUGGCAGCUAAGAACUCUCAUUGCAUAUAUAAAGUAAAAUACAAAUCUGGUAUAUAAAUAUCUAUUUUAAACUGUAUGAGUAUGAGAGAAUUUUGGAAAAAAUGAUAUAAAAUGUUCAGUGUUGGUGUUAUAUAAAAUGAAAGGAUCAUAUUUUAGUUACUAAUUAAAUUGGUUUUUAUUUUUUCACCCCUCAUUAUAGCACUUUAACAUCAAUAUAACUUCAGCUAAACAUUCAAAAGAUCCACAAUUAUAAUUUUAACAACAUAUAAGUACAUUGCAAAUAUAAAUUUCUCUUACUGAAGGCUUCUAUAAAAGUGCUAAUUUCUAAAUCAAUUAUGUCAUCUUUCUCUCUUUUAAACUUCCCACUAUGGAAUGCAAAUAUUGAAUAAUGUUCUAUUAUUAAAAAUGUUAGCACAAUAGGUUCAUGAUGCUUUAUCAUUUGUUGCUUUUAAUAAUAUGAUGGCAUUAUCUUUAUGUAUAAAAAUUAAAAGGGAAAUUCUAAGAAAAUAAUUAACAUUUCAACUUUGACAAAACUAUGCAUUAUAUUUAUCUCAUUUUUCUGCAAAUCUUUAAAAGGCACUAUUCUCUGAUAACAUUUCUCCAGCGAUACCUAUAGAUUUGAGAGAAAAAAACUCACACAAAUUCUUUUUACAAAGCUAUUCUCAGAUAAUUAAUUAUAUUAUCUGGUACUAAUUGGUAGAGAUUGAAAGUAUUUAAUAGCAGAAUCUAACAAAUGACCAAAACGCAGACAAUUUGACUGGUCUCAUAUCUAUAUCUUGC
rnacentral:lncRNA from 1 species